rnacentral:lncRNA from 10 species
GAGCACAGGAGGUGAGUGAGAAGGGCGGCCCUGCAGGGUCUCCGAGGCGGUUGAGUCCUGCCACUGGGUGGAGGGUAUAGCCACCGGACCCGCCUUUCCCGGAACGCGCCGUCCUCGGAAACGCCUAGACCCCGGCAGCUAGGCCGGGAGGCACCGCCCACUCCUCUAGAGCGGAGCGUGGCCCAGGUUGAGCCGCCGCACCGUGGGUCUCGGGUCUCGGUGACGAGCAGCUGCCCGCCUCCGAUUGCCUGCGUUUAGGAGGUGGCUGCGUUGUGGGAAAAGCUAUCAAGGAAGAAAUUGCCAAACCAUGUCUUUUUUUCUGUUUUCAGAGUAGUUCACAACAGAUCUGAGUGUUUUAAUUAAGCAUGGAAUACAGAAAACAACAAAAAACUUAAGCUUUAAUUUCAUCUGGAAUUCCACAGAGACAAGGCCACUUUAUGUUUCCCAGGCUGGACUGGAACCCCUGGGCUCAAAUGAUCCUCCUAC